rnacentral:rRNA from 1 species
GAUGAACGCUGGCGGCGUGCCUAAUACAUGCAAGUCGAGCGAACGGACGAGAAGCUUGCUUCUCUGAUGUUAGCGGCGGACGGGUGAGUAACACGUGGAUAACCUACCUAUAAGACUGGGAUAACUUCGGGAAACCGGAGCUAAUACCGGAUAAUAUUUUGAACCGCAUGGUUCAAAAGUGAAAGACGGUCUUGCUGUCACUUAUAGAUGGAUCCGCGCUGCAUUAGCUAGUUGGUAAGGUAACGGCUUACCAAGGCAACGAUGCAUAGCCGACCUGAGAGGGUGAUCGGCCACACUGGAACUGAGACACGGUCCAGACUCCUACGGGAGGCAGCAGUAGGGAAUCUUCCGCAAUGGGCGAAAGCCUGACGGAACAACGCCGCGUGAGUGAUGAAGGUCUUCGGAUCGUAAAACUCUGUUAUUAGGGAAGAACAUAUGUGUAAGUAACUGUGCACAUCUUGACGGUACCUAAUCAGAAAGCCACGGCUAACUACGUG